rnacentral:rRNA from 1 species
AGAGUUUGAUCAUGGCUCAGAUUGAACGCUGGCGGCAGGCCUAACACAUGCAAGUCGAACGGUAACAGGAAGCAGCUUGCUGCUUCGCUGACGAGUGGCGGACGGGUGAGUAAUGUCUGGGAAGCUGCCUGAUGGAGGGGGAUAACUACUGGAAACGGUAGCUAAUACCGCAUAAUGUCGCAAGACCAAAGAGGGGGACCUUCGGGCCUCUUGCCAUCGGAUGUGCCCAGAUGGGAUUAGCUUGUUGGUGGGGUAACGGCUCACCAAGGCGACGAUCCCUAGCUGGUCUGAGAGGAUGACCAGCCACACUGGAACUGAGACACGGUCCAGACUCCUACGGGAGGCAGCAGUGGGGAAUAUUGCACAAUGGGCGCAAGCCUGAUGCAGCCAUGCCGCGUGUAUGAAGAAGGCCUUCGGGUUGUAAAGUACUUUCAGCGGGGAGGAAGGGAGUAAAGUUAAUACCUUUGCUCAUUGACGUUACCCGCAGAAGAAGCACCGGCUAACUCCGUGCCAGCAGCCGCGGUAAUACGGAGGGUGCAAGCGUUAAUCGGAAUUACUGGGCGUAAAGCGCACGCAGGCGGUUUGUUAAGUCAGAUGUGAAAUCCCCGGGCUCAACCUGGGAACUGCAUCUGAUACUGGCAAGCUUGAGUCUCGUAGAGGGGGGUAGAAUUCCAGGUGUAGCGGUGAAAUGCGUAGAGAUCUGGAGGAAUACCGGUGGCGAAGGCGGCCCCCUGGUCGAAGACUGACGCUCAGGUGCGAAAGCGUGGGGAGCAAACAGGAUUAGAUACCCUGGUAGUCCACGCCGUAAACGAUGUCGACUUGGAGGUUGUGCCCUUGAGGCGUGGCUUCCGGAGCUAACGCGUUAAGUCGACCGCCUGGGGAGUACGGCCGCAAGGUUAAAACUCAAAUGAAUUGACGGGGGCCCGCACAAGCGGUGGAGCAUGUGGUUUAAUUCGAUGCAACGCGAAGAACCUUACCUGGUCUUGACAUCCACGGAAGUUUUCAGAGAUGAGAAUGUGCCUUCGGGAACCGUGAGACAGGUGCUGCAUGGCUGUCGUCAGCUCGUGUUGUGAAAUGUUGGGUUAAGUCCCGCAACGAGCGCAACCCUUAUCCUUUGUUGCCAGCGGUCCGGCCGGGAACUCAAAGGAGACUGCCAGUGAUAAACUGGAGGAAGGUGGGGAUGACGUCAAGUCAUCAUGGCCCUUACGACCAGGGCUACACACGUGCUACAAUGGCGCAUACAAAGAGAAGCGACCUCGCGAGAGCAAGCGGACAUCAUAAAGUGCGUCGUAGUCCGGAUUGGAGUCUGCAACUCGACUCCAUGAAGUCGGAAUCGCUAGUAAUCGUGGAUCAGAAUGCCACGGUGAAUACGUUCCCGGGCCUUGUACACACCGCCCGUCACACCAUGGGAGUGGGUUGCAAAAGAAGUAGGUAGCUUAACCUUCGGGAGGGCGCUUACCACUUUGUGAUUCAUGACUGGGGUGAAGUCGUAACAAGGUAACCGUAGGGGAACCUGCGGUUG